CCCGCACAAGAGACGCUGCGUGCUCCAGCCUCAUCGCUGCUGCCCCGCGGUCGCCUUGGUGUCGUUGUUCGUCGCCAUGCUAGUAGGACCGGGCGUCCAUGCCUCUCACCCCUCCCUCCUGCACCUCACCGUUGGUGUUCCCUAAUCUCCGUGCCAUGGCCAUAGCCAUCUCCCGCCUAGCCACACCUUGCUUUGCCGUUGUAGACCAUGGCCAGCCGCCGGAGAGCAAGUUGUCGCCCGCGUUUG
rnacentral:lncRNA from 1 species